UCACCUGUGUCAACCCGGCUCGGAGGUG
rnacentral:piRNA from 1 species